CUAAGUGUAGAGUAGUGCUGCAGCAAACGCAUUAAGCACUCCGCCUGGGGAGUACGACCGCAAGGUUGAAACUCAAAGGAAUUGACGGGGGCCCGCACAAGCGGUGGAGCAUGUGGUUUAAUUCGAAGCAACGCGAAGAACCUUACCAGGUCUUGACAUCCAGGUGGUGCAUGGUUGUCGUCAGCUCGUGUCGUGAGAUGUUGGGUUAAGUCCCGCAACGAGCGCAACCCUUGAUCUUAGUUGCCACUCUAAGGUGACUGCCGGUGACAAACCGGAGGAAGGUGGGGAUGACGUCAAAUCAUCAUGCCCCUUAUGACCUGGGCUACACACGUGCUACAAUGGAUGGUACAAAGGGCUGCAAGACCGCGAGGUUUAGCCAACCCCAUAAAACCAUUCUCAGUUCGGAUUGUAGGCUGCAACUCGCCUACAUGAAGCCGGAAUCGCUAGUAAUCGCGGAUCAGCACGCCGCGGUGAAUACGUUCCCGGGCCUUGCACACACCGCCCGUC
rnacentral:rRNA from 1 species